UGCACAGCACAACUUCAGCAUUGGAAUGUCACAUCCAUCUGGUUCCCUCUGACUGACAUCGCUCCAACUCACUUGAAUAAUUUUACAUCGCCUUGCCAUAAGCAAAUUGUCAGUGGUCAGCCUCAAAAUCAAGGAAACACCUUUAAAUGUAUACCAGUUUGGGCAAUCCCAUGCCAUCUACUGAGGUGCUGCUCAAACAUCUGCGUGAAGAAAAGGAUAGAAAAACAAACUCUGGAAAACGGAGGACUAAGACACAGAAUUUGGACAAAACACUGCCUUUCACAUGAAAUAGUGCAGGCAACAAGACAUCACAUCACCAUUUCAUGCACUUCAAGAGACAAGAGAAAGCGAUUAACAGAGAAAGCCAGAAGCGCUGAGUUGAGCCGCUGCAGUGCUGUACACACGGUGAAUAAAGCAGGACCGCAGGAGGAGAGGUGCAGGAGAGAGCAGGCGGGUACAGAAGCAGGAGAAGCGGGGAGCUCUCACCGUGCUCAGCUCCGGAGCUCCAGCUGCUCCAGCAGCGGCUCUUCAGUUCCUCAGACUCUCUCAGACUCGCUGAGGAACUAUUUUCUCCACCUGUAUUCCGACAGACUGCAGCACUAUUCACCACAGAUUAGCUAAUCAUCCUCACUCAAGAGGAGAACGAACUGCAGAACAACCAAUCACAGCGCAAGAGACGAGUUAACAGCAGCCAAUCGCAGCGCGGGGGCGAAGUUUAUAGUAAUAAAGGUGGGAGUUUCCGGUGCUCGCUUUAUUCU
rnacentral:lncRNA from 1 species